UACGGAGGAUCCAAGCGUUAUCCGGAUUUAUUGGGUUUAAAGGGUGCGUAGGCGGACUAAUAAGUUAGUGGUGAAAGCCCGGGGCUCAACUCCGGAACUGCCAUUGAUACUGUUAGUCUUGAGUCAACUUGAAGUGGGCGGAAUAAGGCAUGUAGCGGUGAAAUGCAUAGAUAUGCCUUAGAACACCGAUUGCGUAGGCAGCUCACUAAAUUUGUACUGACGCUGAGGCACGAAAGCGUGGGGAGCGAACAGG
rnacentral:rRNA from 1 species